rnacentral:lncRNA from 1 species
UUAUAAUUCCAAGUUUCCUGAAUAAAAACCCUAAGUCUAGUUAUUUCUUUUUAAGCACCAAAACCUCAACCAAUCAAUCGAGCAAUUACUUGCUCAACAAAACUGCAAAUUUACAUUUUAAUCAUUAAACCAUCCAACAUAACAAAUCCCAUUAGAUUUAUUAGGUUCCCUAGCUCCUUGUGGAUUCGAUCCCUAAGUACUGCAAUUGAACCUCUUACUUGAGAGAGUAAAUUCACUCUUUAGGGUAAUUUGAGUGAUAUCACUAAUCAUGUCUCCUAAGCCUAAAUACUCAAA